UGAGGAAUAUUGGUCAAUGGACGCAAGUCUGAACCAGCCACGUCGCGUGAAGGAAGACGGCCCUACGGGUUGUAAACUUCUUUUAUACGGGAAUAAAGUGCCCCACGCGUGGGGUUUUGCAAGUACCGUACGAAUAAGGAUCGGCUAACUCCGUGCCAGCAGCCGCGGUAAUACGGAGGAUCCGAGCGUUAUCCGGAUUUAUUGGGUUUAAAGGGUGCUCAGGCGGGGGAUUAAGUCGGCGGUGAAAUUUUGCAGCUCAACUGUAAAAGUGCCUUCGAAACUGGUUUCCUUGAGUGCGGAUGAGGUAGGCGGAAUUUGUGGUGUAGCGGUGAAAUGCAUAGAUAUCACGAGGAACUCCGAUUGCGCAGGCAGCUUACCAAGCCGUAACUGACGCUCAAGCACGAAGGCGUGGGGAUCAAACA
rnacentral:rRNA from 1 species